UUAUUUACACAUUUUUUAGCUUAAUUUAUGGUUUUUAUCUUGUUUUUACAGAAAAGAAAGAAAUUGGAGAAUUGGAGAAAAAGUGCAGAAAGUUGACAAAAAAGUGAUCGGGUCAGUGAUUUGCCCAGUGAUUUGCCCACUGCUUGCCCAAAUCAGGCUGAAGCAGAAACCUGAAGGCAACAGGCAGUAGUGAUAUGGCAAGUGAUUUGCCCAAGAAACUUGAGGAUCACUGGCCAAAUCACUCGCAGAGACAUAGAGGACUGACUCACAGAGAAGCGAUCUGGUCAGCGAUUUGCCCAAUCACUUGAAGAAACUGGUCAAAUCGCAGGGCAAAUCACUUCGACAGCAGAAAAUACAGCAGAGCGGGAAAUUGUUCAGGAAAUCGAAUUUCAAGUUUUCAGAAGUCCAAAUCCAACUCAAUCACUACCAAAACAAUUCCAAGAGCCACGAAAGAGUUUCUCACCAAGGAAUUCCAGUUGCAAUUAAAUUCAACAUCAAAAGAGGAGUCACAAGCCAAAUUAAAAAGGGGUUUCAAAACCCUAGAAGGAUGGAACUCUUCAACUAUAAAAGGGCAACCUCCAAACCAGCAAAGGCAUCUUCUGCUGAGGAAUUGAACUCGCCAGAAACUCUCCAGCAUCUUCCUCUUUCUNNNNNNNN
rnacentral:lncRNA from 1 species